rnacentral:lncRNA from 1 species
AAUUUUUUUAGCUGAAUUACAUGUGAAAAUACGGUUAAAUUUAUUUACAUCUAAGGCACAGUACAAGACAUUCAUAGCUUUAGCAUUGAGCUGAGCCAUUUUUUUAUCAAACUCAUCCCAUUCACCUUCCGACUUAGGGAGGGACACACCAUCAAUCAACUUAGUGAGUGUGUGAGGUCCAUUCACUAUGAUACUCUAC